AGUGAACGCUGGCGGCAGGCCUAAUACAUGCAAGUCGGACGGCAGCACAGCAGAGCUUGCUCUGUGGGUGGCGAGUGGCGGACGGGUGAGGAAUACAUGGGAAUCUGCCCAGUCGUGGGGGAUAACGUAUGGAAACGUACGCUAAUACCGCAUGCGCCCUACGGGGGAAAGCCGGGGACCUUCGGGCCUGGCGCGAUGGGAUGAGCCCAUGUUCGAUUAGCUAGUUGGCGGGGUAAAGGCCCACCAAGGCGACGAUCGAUAGCUGGUCUGAGAGGAUGAUCAGCCACACUGGGACUGAGACACGGCCCAGACUCCUACGGGAGGCAGCAGUAGGGAAUAUUGGACAAUGGGCGCAAGCCUGAUCCAGCCAUGCCGCGUGAGUGAAGAAGGCCCUCGGGUUGUAAAGCUCUUUUGUCCGGAAAGAAAAGCAUUCGGUUAAUACCCGGGUGUUCUGACGGUACCGGAAGAAUAAGCACCGGCUAACUUCGUGCCAGCCGCGCCGUAA
rnacentral:rRNA from 1 species